rnacentral:rRNA from 1 species
CCUACGGGAGGCAGCAGUGAGGAAUAUUGGUCAAUGGACGAGAGUCUGAACCAGCCAAGUAGCGUGAAGGAUGACUGCCCUAUGGGUUGUAAACUUCUUUUAUAUGGGAAUAAAAUGUUCCACGUGUGGGAUUUUGUAUGUACCAUAUGAAUAAGGAUCGGCUAACUCCGUGCCAGCAGCCGCGGUAAUACGGAGGAUCCGAGCGUUAUCCGGAUUUAUUGGGUUUAAAGAGUUCGUAGGUGGCAUAUUAAGUCUGGUGUUAAAUGCAGAAGCUCAACUUCUGUUCGGCACUGGAUACUGGUAAGCUUGAAUGCGGUAGAGGUAAAGGGAAUUCCUGGUGUAGCGGUGAAAUGCGUAGAUAUCAGGAGGAACAUCGGUGGCGUAAGCGCUUUACUGGGCCGUAAUUGACACUGAGGAACGAAAGCCGGGGUAGCAAAUGGGAUUAGAUACCCUUGUAGUC